rnacentral:RNase_P_RNA from 2 species
ACAGCUCGAAAGCCGUAUUUGCUCGUUACGCACUCGCCGAUUCUCUCGGCUUCUCGCGAGCGGGCUAAGGUCUGAGCGUUCUAGUCCCCUUGUAAUUGUGUCUAGCUGGCACCGGCCGUAACAGGCCGAGUAGAGUAUCAGACAUGCGCUCUCUGUUGCCCGUAUCGCCCAGAGAUCCGCAAGGUGAGGGUAUGGCGGCAGUUUGAGCUUGGAACAACUCUACGGGGACGGGGACUACUUGUUUGGUGCUUCGUCGCCUUGUUUGCCUUUGGACUUUGGCACCUAUCGCACCCAUGCGCUUGUGUAUAGCGCUGUGUCAUAUGAUGCACGGUGUGCGGCGUGACAGUCAUUGCUAGCUCUUCGGCUGGCUUGGGGACCGGGACCGGGAUGCCGACGGCCCCAAGUGGGGCCCGGCCUUGCACGCCGUAGAAUUCGGCAUGCAUGUCCUUUGCAGGUUACGCCCUCAGGGAGUUCCAUCCGACCAGGUUAUUCAACCGGUCAUAUUGUGCGUAUCAAUCAUACCACAAUAUAAUGCCAUGUGCAUUGGGUCAUUGGUCUGGGUGGACGAGGGUGUUCGAGGUUCGAGGGAGGUCAUGUGUGGCGUUGCAUCAGAGGUAGACCCUUUAGUUCACUUUGCGGCUCGCAUCAUGCGAAACUCGAUUCAGACUACUCUUGAGCUGU